rnacentral:rRNA from 1 species
AACUAACGCUGGCGGCGCGUCUUAAACAUGCAAGUCAAACGGGUAGCAAUACCAGUGGCGAACGGGUGAGUAAUACAUGGAUAACCUACCUUUAAGUUGGGAAUAACACAGAGAAAUUUGUGCUAAUACCGAAUGUGACGGUUCAGCAAAGGCUGGAUUGGUUAAAGCAGCAAUGCGCUUAGAGAUGGGUCCAUGGCUGAUUAGCUAGUUGGUGGGGUAAAGGCCCACCAAGGCGACGAUCAGUAGCCGGCCUGAGAGGGUGAACGGCCACAAUGGAACUGAGACACGGUCCAUACUCCUACGGGAGGCAGCAGUUAAGAAUCUUGCUCAAUGGGCGAAAGCCUGAAGCAGCGACGCCGCGUGAACGAUGAAGGUCUUCGGAUUGUAAAGUUCAGUAAGUAGGGACGAAAAAAAUGACGGUACCUACCUAAAGCACCGGCUAACUACGUGCCAGCAGCCGCCGUAACAC